AUAUUGUUAAGAAAAAAAUUGAAUCAGUUCUUCUCUUUUAAAAAUUUGUUUUUCAAUUAAUACUGCUUAAUUCCUGAAGGAUUACUAAUAAUUGGUAUAAAACUUUAUUCUCGAGGGACUUCUUAGAGUAACAUCCAGGAUUCAAAUCUCUCAACAAUAGCACCACUAAUUUUAAUAGCGAAAAUUACUAUAGUUGGAAAGUUUGAAUAGAGUCCUACCUUGAAGCUUUAUAACAUUGGCUAGCAACAAAAAGAAGAAUACGAAGCUUCUAUACUACCCGAC
rnacentral:lncRNA from 1 species